rnacentral:misc_RNA from 1 species
GAUGAAGAACGUAGCGAAAUGCGAUACGUAGUGUGAAUUGCAGAAUUCAGUGAAUCAUCGAAUCUUUGAACGCACAUUGCACCUCUCGGUAUUCCGGGAGGUAUGCCUGUUCGAGCGUCAUUUGUACCCUCAAGCUCUGCUUGGUGUUGGGUGUUUGUUCCGCCUCUGUGUGUGAACUCGCCUCAAAACAAUUGGCAGCCGGCGUACUUGUUUCGGAGCGCAGCACAUUUUGCGAUCCAGAUCAACGUACAGCGGCAUCCAAGAAGCCUUAUUUAACGCUCUUGACCUCGGAUCAGGUAGGGAUACCCGCUGAACUUAAGCAUAUCAAUAAGCGGAGG